rnacentral:rRNA from 1 species
CCUACGGGUGGCAGCAGUGGGGAAUAUUGGACAAUGGGGGCAACCCUGAUCCAGCCAUGCCGCGUGUGUGAAGAAGGCCCUCGGGUUGUAAAGCACUUUCAGUGAGGAAGAACGCCUGGUGGUUAAUACCCAUCAGGAAAGACAUCACUCACAGAAGAAGCACCGGCUAACUCCGUGCCAGCAGCCGCGGUAAUACGGAGGGUGCGAGCGUUAAUCGGAAUUACUGGGCGUAAAGCGCGCGUAGGAGGCUUGAUAAGCCGGUUGUGAAAGCCCCGGGCUCAACCUGGGAACGGCAUCCGGAACUGUCAAGCUAGAGUGCAGGAGAGGAAGGUAGAAUUCCCGGUGUAGCGGUGAAAUGCGUAGAGAUCGGGAGGAAUACCAGUGGCGAAGGCGGCCUUCUGGACUGACACUGACACUGAGGUGCGAAAGCGUGGGUAGCAAACAGGAUUAGAUACCCUAGUAGUC